UACAGAGGUCUCAAGCGUUGUUCGGAUUCAUUGGGCGUAAAGGGUUCGUAGGUGGCGCUGUAAGUCGGGUGUGAAAUUUCGGAGCUUAACUCCGAAACUGCAUUCGAUACUGCGGUGCUUGAGGACUGGAGAGGAGACUGGAAUUCAUGGUGUAGCAGUGAAAUGCGUAGAGAUCAUGAGGAAGACCAGUGGCGAAGGCGGGUCUCUGGACAGUACCUGACACUGAGGCACGAAGGCCAGGGGAGCAAACGGG
rnacentral:rRNA from 1 species